GGGCUGUAAAAUGUACUGCUCUGAUUCUCGUGGAGGAAUUUUCAUGCUAAAUGUAUUUACUAGUUGAUGGGCAUGAUAUUAGGUCUAGGGAAUACCUAAUAUUUGUUGAACAUAAUCUUUUUUAAAAAAUGAUGGUUGUUGCUCUGAAUUCUGGCCUUUAAAUAUAUUACUGCAAUGAGAAAGCAGUGUUUUUAGCACAUAUUCUUAAAUUUGAAAAUAUUUGAAUAUUUAUCUGCAUAUUAUUCAUUAAAGAUAACUUUGAAUGACUUGAUUUAAAUAUUAUUACACCAAUAAAAUUAAAAUAGAUCAUCAAAAACCAAAUUGCUUUUUCACGCAUGUAAGAUUUUUGUCAGCUGAGGUACCUACUGUUUUCAAAGACGGUUUCUCAUGUCACUGGGAGGGUGGAAAUGAUAGAGAUUUAAAAUAACAUCUUAUGAAAUGCUUUGUAGCCAAAAUAUUGGAAACUUUGUCAUAAAGAGAUUUAAUUCAUUUUUGCUGUGUUGCAUUAGUAUUUUUAUUUUAUAAAUAGAGGAGAUUAAAAAACCUGUUUUUAUUUGAUAAGUGUGGCAGUGUUUUAAACAUUAAAAACAGUAUUCAGCAGUGUUUGCUGUGGCCAUGUUACUGGGUUGUGCUCCUGAGUGCUGUAUGGGUGUUGGGUGUGCAGGCACUGGUAGCAUUGCCAGCAAGAGCUCAUGGGUGGACAUUUCCUAAUGUGUCACUUACGUGUCAGGUCUUUCUGCUUGUACUAAUGGUGUUGAAUGGGCAGAGACAGGGAUUUCUUAGACCCAUCCUUCCGUUUGCUAGAGGAGAAGCACGGUCGGCUGGGGAAGAUGAUUCACUGAAGGACUGAGGAAGCCAGAGAGACGUGUGGUUGGAGUUGACUCUGAUUGGAUGACUGCCUUUGUUUUAUGUAUUGGAAUUUUCCUAAAAGUGGUGUGAAAGUCAAGAGAUUUAUUACCAGCAUUUCUCUUUCAGCUAAUGAGAAGGAAGCUGUAGGCUGGUAAGCUGCCGGAGUUUUGUGUCAUUUUAAGCUUCUUGAGAAAUGCAAACACUAAACCUUAAUUUUAGUAGUUAUUGCUGGACACAGCUUAGGAACAGAGGACAAAAAUCUAUGAAAGUUGGGGUUUUUUUCCCAAUAUAAUCACUGGUAUAAUCAUAGACAACUUUGAGAUUUAACCAACUGCUAUUCUGAAAUAUACAGGUUCUUGUAAUAGACAGUGUUUUGUUAUUUGAGUACAUUUAUAGGGAAAAACAAACAGGAUGGAGAUUUAAUAGCCAGUUUAGGAGAGAGCUAGAACUUAUAUUAUUCCUUGAAUAUCCUCAAAUAUUUGGUUUCUUAUAAUUAUAUAAAUUUUAUUGCUAAAAUUUCUCCAGAAUAUACUUGCACAUCUUGAUUAAUGGUAUUAGUAAAGUAACAAUAAGCUUUUUGAGAUCCAUAAUGUAUGUUUGGCACAUGAGUUCUGAACUGGUUUUUGCAUAGGGUACUUGAGACAUUUUGGAGCUUGCUUAGUGUAGAACAAGAACUGCUGGCUGAAAAUAAAUCCACUGAAAAUUAACACUGAGGUUAAUGAAACUUCUGGAUUAGUAGAGUCAUCUAUGUAUUAUCAAUGGUAAUGAGAUGCUAGACCAAGAAUGAUGAUCUACGUACAUACAAACAAACAAUCAUUUGGAUAUAUAUAUAUGCAAUCCGAAACACCUCAUUUUGUGAUCAUUUCCUGUUUUCUGAAGCACAAAAAGCAAAAUUGGUAAGAAGUGGAGUUGAUUACCUACUGAGGUAGCUCUGAUUUACUGUUCAGUAAUGAGGUCCAGAGUAGGAGUAAUACUGAUAGUUAAAUCUGUAAUUCCAAUUUUCAGUCCUUUUUUUCUUUUUCUUUUUUUAAACAGUGUUUCAUGUAACUCAGACUAACAUUGAACUCACUGUAGUUGAGGGUGACCUAGGCCUCCUGAUCCUCUUGCUUCCACCUCCCAGGUUUAGAGAUUACAAAUGUCCACCACCAUAGCAUGAUCUCAGUACUGCAUUUCUGUCUUUUCUGGAAAAAAGACCAUUUACUAGAGCUGUUAUUAAAUGGUAGCAUCUAAGAAAGUGUACUUCGCUACUUCUUCCUGACUCUACUUUCUAAUGGAGAUGCUAAUAAGAAAUUAAGUUUAGCCUAUCAUUGAGGAUCCUACCUUGUCUCUUUUGAAUGUGUUGUUUCUCUAGCUAAUAAAGUAAAUAAUUAUACAGAUUCAUAUCUCAAGCAUAGAAAAAAGGUUUUAAAACCAAGAGCAUUAAUAUGAGUAUCCUGCCUACACAUAUGUAUGUGCACCAUAUGUGUGUGCGCCACACCUGGUGUCUGCAGGGGAUGGGGGUGGUGGUGGUGGUGGUGGUGGUGGUGGUGGUGGUGUCUGGUCCCUGGAGCAAGUUACAGGCAGUUAUGAGCCACCAUGUGGGUACAAGGAAAUGAACCUCGGUCCUCUGCAAGAAUAGUGAGUGCUCUUAACUCCCAAGCUAUCUUUCUAACCCCACCUGGAGUUUUUUGGUUGGUCUUAUUUUUGCUUUUGUUUUGGUGCUGAAGAUUGAAAUUGAGGCCUCGUGCAUAUUAAGCACAUGCUCACUCACAGAGCUACACUCCAGUCAAGUUUUUGGUUUUGUAUUUAUAUAUGCUCUCUACUUUAAAGUAAAAUACUAAUUUUCUUUUUUUUCUUCAUUUUUAUUGGUUAUUUUAUUUAUUUACAUUUCAAAUGUUAUCCCCCUUCCCAGUUUCCCUUCCAUAAGCUUCCUAUCCCCUCCUCCCUCCCCCCUACCUCUGUAAGGGUGAUCCCCAUCUGCACACACACUCCUGCCUCCGUGGCCUAGCAUUCCCCUAUUCUGGGUCAUCAAGCCUCCAUAAGACCAAGGCCUCCCCUCCCAGUGAUGCCAGAUAAGGCAAUCCUCUGCUACACAUCCAGCUGGAGCUAUGGGUACCUCCCAUGCACUCUUUGGUUGGUGGUUUAGUCCCUGGGAGCUUUGGUGGGGGGGGGGGGGGCGUCUGGUUGGUUGAUAUUGUUGUUCUUCCUAUGAGGUUGCAAACUCCUUCAGCUCCUACAGUCCUUGCCUUAACUUCCCUAUUAUGGUCUCUGCGCUCAGUCCAAUGUUUGGCUGUGUACAUCCACAUCUGUAUUGGUCAGGCUCUGGCAGAGCCUCUCAGGGGGCAGCUAUAUGGGGCUUCUGUCAGCAAGCACUUCUUAGCAUCAGCAAGUGUCUCGGUUUGGUGUCAGCAGAUGGGAUGGAUCCCUAGGGAGCCCACAUACACAUGGAAGCUGAACUAGUAUCUAUUCACUGAUAACUUAGUCAGGGAAGAAAUAAAGAAAGAAAUUAAAGACUUUUUAGAAUUUAAUGAAAAUGAAGGCACAAUAAACCCAACUUAAUGGAACACAAUGAAAGCAGUGCUGAGAGGAAAAUUCAUAGCUCUGAGUGCUUCCAUAAAGAACCUGAAGAGAGCAUACACUAGCAACUUAACAGAAUAUCUGAAAGCUCUAGAACAAAAAGAAGCAAAUACACCCAAGAGUAGACCUGCAGGAAAUGAUCAAACUCGGGGCUGAAAUCAACCAAGUAGAAACAAGAGAACUAUACAAAAAAAUCAACAAAACCAGGAGCUGGUUCUUUGAGAAAAUCAUCAAGAUAGAUAAACCCUUAGCAAGACUAACCAGAGGGCACAGAGACAGUAUCCAAAUUAACAAAAUCAGAAAUGAAAAUGGAGACAUAACAACAGAAACUAAAGAAAUGCAAAAAAAUAUCAGAUCCUGCCACAAAACUUGAAAAUCUAGAUGAAAUGGAUGAUUUUCUAAGUUUUUGUUUCUUGUGUGGUCUGUGAGUUCUCAUCUUGAAACUCUUUCUCUCUUUUCUUCUCCCUGCUCCCAGUCACCCUGUACUGACGCUUGCAGUGAGAUCUCUGUCCCCUGAGUGCCAGUUGUACAUUUCCGUUUAGUCAUCUUAGUGUUUAUCAUUUGAAAGCUGGUCAGUCUAAAGCAGGUCUUGUUGGAAAAUAAAUAGCUUCAAGUUUGGACUUAUUUCUGUCAAUACUUUUCUUUUGAGUUGCUGACAUCUCAAAUAUAUAUUUGAGACGUUUUGGGGGUAACAGUGCUUGCUGUGCAAGCAUGAAGACCCAAGCUAGAAUCCCCAGUUCCCACAUAAAAAUCUAGGCACUGCUGCACAUGCUUAUAACUCCAAUGUAGUAGAAAGUAGAGAUAGGAUCACUGAGAUAGGCUGGCCACCAGCCUAACUCCAAGUUGAGUGAGAGAUCCUAUCUUAAAGGAUAAGAUGGAGAGUGAUGAGCUGGAGCGAUGGCUUAGUGGUUAAGAGCACCUACUACUCUUCCGAAGGCCCUGAGUUCAAAUCCUAGCAACCACAUGGUGGCUCACAACUAUCUGUAAUGGGAUCUGAUGCCCUUUUCUGGGGUGUCUGAAGACAGCUACAGUGUACUUACAUAUAAUAAUAAAUAAAUCUUAAAAAGAAAAAAAGAGUGAUCUAGUUGGACAUCUGAAGCCUUCCCUGACUUUUCCAGACCUGUAUGGCACAAGAAAGCACACAGGUGCAUGUGCAUCUUCCACCUUGUAUGAGCUUCUUGAGCUUAGAAAUUCUGCUUUGGAUCACGUAUGUCUUCCAUUGUAUUUGGAAAUACAGAGUUAGAUAUUUAAGGAAAGUGUUCAAAUUAAAAAUAAACAGACUGAACUUAUACAAGAAAUUAAAAGUAGGGCAGAAUGCACCCAGAACCCACUGGCAGGAAGGAUUAAGAGCAUAGUAGGUGUUUAUAAAGUCCCACUUUUAUGUGACUUGGAAUGGUGAGAUGGCUCAGCAGUUAAGCUACUUGCUGUCAGGCUGAGUUCACUCUCCUAGACCCACAAAGAUCCUUAGUUGACUCCUGCAUGUUGUCCUCUGACCUCUGUUACACAUGCCAUGCCAUGUGCAUACCCAGAUCCACAGAAUAAAUAAAUGUAAUAAAAGAAAAAGUUAGUAACUCAGGCUAGGAAAUGAGUCAGUAAAAAGGACCUACAUUCAUUUCCCAGCACCCAUAUCGUGGCUCACAACCAUCUGUAACUCCAGUGCCACAAAAUCCUAUGCUGCCUUCUGGCCUCUGUUGGCAUCAGGCACUCAUGUGGUGCACAUAUAUACAGAGGUAAAUCAUUUAUAUACAGAAAAAUCUUUAAAAAAAUUUAAACUUGAAAAAUAAGAGUUAAUAACUCAGAGUAAUUACCCUUUUUUUUUUUCAUUUUAUUUCAUUUAUUUGGCUUUUUACUCCCUGAGGAAAAGGGAUACCUGUGGUUGGAGAAACAAGUCUUAUUCAUAAGUCAGUGGGGUUUUGUUUUCUUGUCUUACGGGUAUUUGUUUGUUUGUUUAAUCCAGUAUAGCUGUAAUUUGCUAUUUAACCCAGACUUGUCUCAGGCUUGAGAUUGCCCUGCCUACACCUCCCAGGUGCUGGAAUUACAGGCAUAUGUCAGUGGACUUUGCAUUUUCACUCCCUGGUGUGUUUUUAAUGAAAUAGACCUUUCCAUGUUGCUAAUAUUCCAUAGGUUUGUUAGGUUAACUUCUUCAGUAGUACAUCAGAGUUGAAUUAGUUAGACUCUUAGUAACUAGACUCUUAGUAAGUAGAUUUAAUAUGUAUUAAGAGUUUUGUGUGUUUAAUUCAUUUCUACAUAGCUUCUCAUGACAUGUGGAGAGGUGAAGAUGAAUCUGUCAGUUUCCGCAUUUUGAGUAGUUUCUAGAAAACAGGACAUUUUUCUUAAAAAUUCUUAAUGAGUGAAGCCAAGAUUCCCAAUUCAGAUAAUCCUUUAUUUAUGAAUGAGGUGUCUUCGAUGUUCGCUAAAGUACACUUUGGCACUGUGUCACACCAUUCUUGUUCAUUCUGUCCCUGCUGCUCUGCACUGGUGUCCCCCUCUUCCCUUUGCAGUUCAUAGAGCAGAAGCGGGGUGCACGCGCAGCAGUCUUCAGUGACUUCACCACCUGUGCAAGUGCUAGAACUGCACUGCCCUAGUUAGAGAGAACUGGGGGCAGAGGCCACUGCAGGAGGGGGAGGGAGACAGGCAUCGGUGCCUUCAUCUAGUUCCAGGAGAAACAAGUUUGUGCCACAAUAAAAUAAUGGAUCUGGAUACAGAUAAUAAUAUAGAAGUUGCAUGACAAAGUGAGUUAGUUUGUGGUAAAAGUUCUUUCUUAUUCAUAUUAGCAUAUAUGUUGCCACUUUUCAUUUUGACUUAAUUUUAAAUCUGUUUACUGAGAGCAAAGGUUCUUGGCUGUGGAUUUGUAUUGGAAAUGUUUUAUUUUUAAAUAUUGUUUUAUUUUUAAGCUUUUCUUUAUAAAGAAUUUUUUCAAAUGUUCUGAGUGUUUACCUGAACAUAUGUAUGUGCAUAUCUGGUGCUAAUGAAGAAUGCGUUGGGACUUUUCCAGUUCUGAACAGUAGUGAGCGACCGCCAUAUGGGUGCUGGGAACUAAACUUAUGUCUGAAAGAGCAGCGGGUGCUCUCAACUGUUGCACUAUCUCUUGUUUUGUUUUUAGCUUUUGAGACAAGAUCACACUUUGCUGACAUAGAAACACUCAGUUUUCCUCACCCCUGGACAUGCUAGGAUUGAAGGCAUGAGCCGCCACACCUGCCUGGAGUUGUGUUGUAAUUUUUAUAGAUGCUUCUUUCUUCAUGCUGAAAUAUAAACAGAGAGAAACACAAGUUUUUAUGUGGAUGUUGAUUAAGAUUUAACUAUUUUCGCUGGGCAUGGUGACGCACUCCUUUAAUCCCAGCACUUGGGAGGCAGAGGCAGGCGGAUUUCUGAGUUUGAGGCCAGCCUGGUCUACAGAGUGAGUUCCAGGACAGCCAGGGCUACACAGAGAAACCCUGUCUCAAAAAAAAACCAGAAAAAAAAAAAAAAGAUUUAACUAUUUUCUAGAGGUAUUUUGUCAGGAAACUUUUCCUUAAGGCCUCACUUUUGUAUUAAUUACAAGGUAUGUUUUCAUUGCAGCAAAGAAAAAGGAAAAAGUGGUAGGAUUAGGUUAACUGAAUGGAAGUAUUUGCUCUUAUAUAAGAAAAUGCAGGACUGCAGAUAUAUUGCAUUGGUUUGUGUAGUCUCUUCCCUCUUAUGGAAGCCUAUUUUCUGGUGUUAUAAUCAAGUCUCAUUAAAAAUAUUGUUUUUGGAAAUAGUUCAUUGUAUUACAGGAAAUGAACAUUGAUCCUGUUACUGAUAGUUCCUAAGUUAAAAAAAAUCAGUUUGUCUUUUUUUUUAGGAAAACAUUUAAAUUAAUAAAAUAACCAGAGAUGUGGUCUUUUUAUUUUUAAAAGGGGGCAAAUCUGGAGGAGGAAUGGCCUAGUGGCUAAGAGCAUUGGCUGCUCUUCCAGAGGACCCAGGUUCAGUUCCCAGCAACCCACAUGGCAGCUCACAACUGCUAGAACUCCACUUCCAGGGACUUGAAGCCAUCUUCUAGCUUCCCUGGGCACCGGCACACACAACAUAUAUGCAGACAAAACACACCGUACACAUAAAAUAACAAAAUAGAUUUUUUUAAGAAAGUCAAACUUGACAUUUUUUAAUUGUAGAAAAUAAAAUGGGUCCAAGAAAUUUGUAAAAUACAGGUCCAGAAAAUGGCUUAUUAGGCAAAGCCUGAGGACCCACAUAGUUAAGACAGGCCUCACUUUUACAAGUUGCCCCCUUCCCUGCAUGCAUACACACACACACACCACACAUAUCCAGACACACUUAAUGAAAUGCAGCAAAUCAUUAAAUAUAAGAUACAGUAAAGCAUGAGAAAUAAUGAAACUUUUCUAUCAGUGAACAUUUAUUAACAUUUGCUUUAUUUUAUAUUUAUUUGUGAAUGAUAAUAAAUAUAUGAUAAUACUAUCUAAACCUUUCUACUCAGCUUUAAAAAAUAAGAACGAUGUCCUAGACACUUUCAUAUAUGACCCUUUUAGGUAAAUAAUAUUGUCCUUCUUUGGAUUUAUAUUAAAAGAUAACAUAUCUAUGAUUAUGAAGACUAGAUAUGAGUAGAGAAUGUGAAAUUCUAGAUUCUCGUUUGAGUUGUAGAAAAAGAAGUUGGAUGGAUGGGGAGAGUAACAAUUUUACUAUUUUUUUUUUUAUUCUGUAAUCUUUUUUUACAGUCCAGUCGUUAUCCCCCUCCUGAUCCCACCCUCUGACAGUUCCUCAUCUCAUGCCUCCUUCCCCCAGAUUUACUAUCUUUAAUCUCUGAGUUUUGUUUUGUUUUUGUAUGUGGUACAGUGUGGGUAUGUGCAUACAUAGGGGAUGUAGAGAGGAGAUAUACUGGUCUUUGCGGAUUCUGGAUUACCACCUGGUCAUGAGCACAGAAAUGGAUGAAGCUUCUAUUCCAUUUCCUAGUACAGAAAUUCAUGUAAUAGGGGUUGGAGGUAUGGCCCAGUGGUUAAGAGCAUGUUCUUCCUGCAGGCCUGAGUUCAGUUCUCAGCAACCACGUGAGAUGGUGUACAACUAUCUGUAAUACCAGCUCCAGGGGUUUCCAGUGUCUCCAUCCUCCAUGGAUACCUUCACCUGCAGGCACAUACCCACAUGCAUGCACACACUCAUAAUUACAAAAAGAAUAUGUCUGUCUGUCUAAAAUGUACUUAGUACAUUAUACUUAGAGGAUAUAUCAAAUAUUAAGUUGGUAAAAACAAGCCAGUAAUCUAAACCAAAAGUCUGAGAAGUGAUCUGAAUAGUUUCUUACUUGCCCAUUUGUGCUUUAGUUUUCUUACCUGUGUGUGAUGAGUGAUAGCGGCUGUCUCUUGGAUGUGCAUGUGGGGUGUAUGCAUGUCACAGUACACCUAUGGUGGUCUCUCCUUCCUCUGUGGAGGUCCUGAGAAUCUUUAUCCACUGAACCAUCUUAUCAACCUAGUCUUUAAUACAUAAUCAAUUAAAAUUUCUCCUCUACAAAAACAGAGGUGGAGGACUUGCCUACCAAGCAUAAGUCCCUAGAUUCAAUCCUCAGUUCAGCAAGGACAGAUUUUAAGUGUGUUGUAUAAGCUAUAUACAUCAGUGAAGUGGUUUAAAAUAAUUAUACACCAAUGUUAUAUGCUAAUCAAAAAAGCAUUAUGCUAAUCAAAAGUACCCAGUUAGGAGAAAACUGUAUGAUUACAUUUAUGUAAAAUUUCUAAAUUAGAUUUGUAGAAGAGAGAAAUAGGUUGGUGGUCGCCUAGGACAGAGGAGAAUGGGAGGUAAAAGAAGGGAGGUCAGGAAUAAGGGGGGUGACUUGAAAUGAGUAAGAGUGUCUUUGGGAGGUUGAUGAAAAUGCCUUUAGAUGAUGAUUGUACAACUCCCUGAGUAAAGUAAAACUAUUAAUUCUGUAGCUGUAGAUUCUCUCACAAAAGCUAUUAUAGAGAAUAUACUGGAGCCUGGGGAGAAGGGGUGGUGUCUUCUUAAUCCCAGGACUCAGGAGGCUGAUGCAGGUAGAAACCUGAAUUGGAGGCCAGCCUGGUCUACAGAGUGAGGUCCAGGAUAGCCAGGGCUACACAGAGAAACCCUGUCUUAUUUAAAUAUUGGGAGUGGGAUCGAUCAGGAGGUGUUGGUUAUAUUGGUCAGAAACUGACACUGUAACAGUAGCAAAAAAAAAAAAAAAAAAAAA